AAAGGGUGCACAGGGGCUGGAGGUUCUGCUACUGGGAGUUUGGCCCCCAGAGAAGUUAGAAAGAGGGAUCUCAAUGCUUGCAACCUCUGUUCUGACUCUGGGCACCAUCAGCUUUCUCUUCAUGGACCACAGUCAUGUCUCACCUGCCCAAAGGAUAUGGCCGCAGCGCUGGUGACAAUGCAUGAGCAGGCCAAGGCUGCUGCUUCUGGACUUCUGUGACCUAUGCUUUACACCACCUGGCUGGUUUAAUUCAUGAAUCCUCUAUUAAUAUGACAAGCUCUGCAAAGGUGACUAAAAUGUUAAGGAGACAGAUGUCAUCAAUAUCUCUCAAGGAUGCUCUGGAUGAAUGCUAAUCAUAAUUUUAACAGUUCCCUGUGCUUUUCUCAAGUGUCAAAGCCUUUAUUUUCGGCCACUCCUGGUGGAGAAACCCCAUCUUACACAAAUGAGCAAUGUAGCUGCAAGUAUCCUUGUAACUCAAAAGAAGACACAGACUGCUUUGUAUUACUACCAGGGCACAAUUUGUCCUUCAGGCAAGAAAGCAAUUCUUUGCUAAGGGUAUUGCUAGCUCCAUGCUGAGUCAGCUCAGCAUCUUGCUCUCACAGACACCUCACCUGGAAAAAUACCUCAGGGUCUGAUGUGGCUGUCCUAGGAGUGACUAAAGUGGAGGCUGGACUAAGCAGAAGCAGAUCUGAGGUAGAUAUAGCACAGGGAAGGGAGAAAGGGUCCCAGUGGCACAAAUAGAUUGUUUAAACAACAAAUUGUCAUCACCAGAGGGGCUAAGGAGAGGAUGCUGAUCUCUGGGGUGGUCUCAGCAUUAAGUGGGAGAUACCACGAGCAAACUCAACAUUUUGCCUGUGCUUAAAAAGCAGCAAAAACAAGGAAAUGAGUAAACCUCUUAUCUUAAUUUUCUUGCAAGUUGCUUAGUGCUUUGGACCACAUUAAACUGCCUGGAUUGAGCCCAUGUAAGAAACCAGAUGUCAGGUUCAGAUCCAGCCAUGCUGUUGGCUCCAGGACACAGUUUAUAUCUGAGUCCAAGAUGCACAUCAUGGGCCUGUUCUGGCCUGAGCAUGAUGCAUUUCUCCUCCCAGACAAAGCUCCCUAUCUACACUGUCCACAUCAUAUUUAUCCUUAGGAGACUGAAGCAGGAAGAUUGUUUCAUCUUUGGAAAAAACCUCUUUUGCAAAUGGCAUUGUGCUGGUCUCAUCUCUCCUUUCACACUCCUUCCCAAGGCAGUUACUUGUCUGCUGUAAUUUACUCUUUAAUGCAGCACUUUCCUAUUCUGUGAGACAACAAUCAUGAAGCAUUUAAAUUCCAAUUGAGUAGGGCUGGAGUGCAGAGGGGCUGCAGCUUGUGCAGCGGGGACAAUGGGAACCUGAGACAGGGGACACCAGUUCAAGGCCCCCCAGGAAGGAAGGCUACAAGCUUCUCCCUCACAUUCCCAUCUCCCUAGAGAUGUAAAUCAAGAAAAAGAAGGGAGGGGAAGAGGAGGAGGGGGGUGUUUAUAGAAAGAAAAGGGAAAAUGGAUUGAGUUGUGCUGAAUUCUAAGACAAGGAUCAGCUACACAAGAGAACUAUUGAAUAGCUGUGAAAUCUGGAAUUGAGCCAUCAAAAAAGCUGCUGAGCUGCAUGUGAAUCAGGUUGAUUGUUUUUGAGAAGCACCUGAUUUUUUUUUUUUUUUGCCCCUCUCUCUCUCCCAGGCUCCGUGCUUAGCCUUGGAAUUUGAACAUGACUGCUGAUGUGCUAAACUGCUUUUCCUUGAGAUAGAGAUAUUUUAGGGACCAGGAAAGGAGGGAGGGCAGGGGAGCGUCUCUCUGGAUGUGAAGGCUGUGGUACUGGGAUUGUGAGCUGACAGGUUCCCCAUUGCUCUGGGGAAUGGCAUCGAGGAGUUCCCACUGCUGGCAGAGACCAAGCAGGAGAAGCAAAGAGCUGUAACUCCCUGGGACAAGGGAGGCUGGCUGCCCUGUAGCUGGGCUGCAAGUACAUUUUGCCAGCUCUUCACCGGGUUUGUGCUCUCAGGAAUUCACAUUUCCUAUCUUGUCUCCCAGGACAGAGACAGCACCUAUUUCCUGCUGAGUGGUCCCUGCUGGACCUUCGGAAAAUGAAUUGCAAAGCCCCAAUUUAAUUUAAUACACUUAUCUGCACGGUGUCUGAUUUUCUCAUGUGCAGUGGUGGAGUUAUAAUUCCCUCUUCAGCAUUCACUAGUGAGGGAAGCAAAGCACAGGGAUGCUGUUUUCCCAAAGAGAACUGUGAUUCCAGAGUGGCCCAAAAAGGCACACUAAAAGAAAGAAGAAAAAAAAAUUAUCAAAGCUGCUUUGAAAAAUCUAGCAGUUUGCCUAGGGUUAUGGAUGAGUUGGGAUUGCAAGAGUGAUACUUUGCCUUUCCUCAUUUGGUAUGUCUGAGAACCGUCUCUGUUCUAAUUUAUUAUUAUUGUAUUGCAUUAUUGUGUAAUUUUAUUGCAUUAAAAAUCAUGUGAAUAGCACCAUGGUGCUCUGCAACACAGAGCCACUGCUCCAAGGAGCCUGGUUUAACUGCUUCCAGAUUUGACUCAAGAGUCAUACACUCUAUUACCUUACGCAGAAAACAUCUGCAUUGUUUUAUUGUUGCUUGUUUACUGAGCACUGAGGGUAAGCACUGUGCUAGGAGAACUUACACAGUCUGGACAUUUCUAUCAUACUUGAGCUCUUCUGCAAUGGGAUGGGCUCGUGUGGCCUCUUCCCUCGGUCGUGGUGCCUUAGCUCAGCCCAACCCCACAGCCCCUCUGCCCCUCCAGAAGAAGUUGACAAGACUCAGUUUCUUCCCAAGCCUUGGAGGGGUAUUUAGACCCCACAGACCACCUUUGCCUGUAGGUCACACCAGUGCCCAUGUUGGUCACACCAAUGGCUGAGAAGCUCUGGGUACCUUGGGGCAGCCCUGGGGGCAGUCUCAGUGCCACCUUGCCCCCACAAGAGCGUGU